AUCAUGAGUUCACAUGUCCGCAUGAUUAAAGGUAUUUUCCGGUAGACGAUGGGGAUGCGUUCCAUUAGAUAGUAGGCGGGGUAACGGCCCACCUAGUCAACGAUGGAUAGGGGUUCUGAGAGGAAGGUCCCCCACAUUGGAACUGAGACACGGUCCAAACUCCUACGGGAGGCAGCAGUGAGGAAUAUUGGUCAAUGGGCGAUGGCCUGAACCAGCCAAGUAGCGUGAAGGAUGACUGCCCUAUGGGUUGUAAACUUCUUUUAUAAAGGAAUAAAGUCGGGUAUGCAUACCCGUUUGCAUGUACUUUAUGAAUAAGGAUCGGCUAGCUCCGUGCCAGCAGCCGCGGUAAUACGGAGGAUCCGAGCGUUAUCCGGAUUUAUUGGGUUUAAAGGGAGCGUAGAUGGAUGUUUAAGUCAGUCGUGAAAGUUUGCGGCUCAACCGUAAAAUUGCAGUUGAUACUGGAUGUCUUGAGUGCAGUUGAGGCAGGCGGAAUUCGUGGUGUAGCGGUGAAAUGCUUAGAUAUCACGAAGAACUCCGAUUG
rnacentral:rRNA from 1 species